AUGGCGACCGGCGCACGGGUGAGUAACACGUAUCCAACCUGCCGACAACACUGGGAUAGCCUUUCGAAAGAAAGAUUAAUACCGGAUGGCAUAGUCUUCCCGCAUGGGAUGACUAUUAAAGAAUUUCGGUUGUCGAUGGGGAUGCGUUCCAUUAGGCAGUUGGCGGGGUAACGGCCCACCAAACCAACGAUGGAUAGGGGUUCUGAGAGGAAGGUCCCCCACAUUGGAACUGAGACACGGUCCAAACUCCUACGGGAGGCAGCAGUGAGGAAUAUUGGUCAAUGGACGAGAGUCUGAACCAGCCAAGUAGCGUGAAGGAUGACUGCCCUAUGGGUUGUAAACUUCUUUUAUACGGGAAUAAAGUGAGCCACGUGUGGCUUUUUGUAUGUACCGUAUGAAUAAGGAUCGGCUAACUCCGUGCCAGCAGCCGCGGUAAUACGGAGGAUCCGAGCGUUAUCCGGAUUUAUUGGGUUUAAAGGGAGCGUAGGCGGGUUGUUAAGUCAGUUGUGAAAGUUUGCGGCUCAACCGUAAAAUUGCAGUUGAUACUGGCGACCUUGAGUGCAACAGAGGUAGGCGGAAUUCGUGGUGUAGCG
rnacentral:rRNA from 1 species